GGGCCUAUAGCUCAGCAUGGUAGAGCAGCGGACUUUUAAUCCGUUGGUCGAGGGUUCGAAUCCCUCUGGGCCCA
rnacentral:tRNA from 1 species